GGUUAAGCGACUAAGCGUACACGGUGGAUGCCCUGGCAGUCAGAGGCGAUGAAGGACGUGCUAAUCUGCGAUAAGCGCCGGUAAGGUGAUAUGAACCGUUAUAACCGGCGAUUUCCGAAUGGGGAAACCCAGUGUGACUCGUCACACUAUCAUUAACUGAAUCCAUAGGUUAAUGAGGCGAACCGGGGGAACUGAAACAUCUAAGUACCCCGAGGAAAAGAAAUCAACCGAGAUUCCCCCAGUAGCGGCGAGCGAACGGGGAGGAGCCCAGAGCCUGAAUCAGCAUGUGUGUUAGUGGAAGCGUCUGGAAAGGCGCGCGAUACAGGGUGACAGCCCCGUACACAAAAGCGCAUGUGCUGUGAGCUCGAUGAGUAGGGCGGGACACGUGGUAUCCUGUCUGAAUAUGGGGGGACCAUCCUCCAAGGCUAAAUACUCCUGACUGACCGAUAGUGAACCAGUACCGUGAGGGAAAGGCGAAAAGAACCCCGGCGAGGGGAGUGAAAAAGAACCUGAAACCGUGUACGUACAAGCAGUGGGAGCACAGGUUUACCUGUGUGACUGCGUACCUUUUGUAUAAUGGGUCAGCGACUUAUAUUCUGUAGCAAGGUUAACCGUAUAGGGGAGCCGGAGGGAAACCGAGUCUUAAUUGGGCGUUAAGUUGCAGGGUAUAGACCCGAAACCCGGUGAUCUAGCCAUGGGCAGGUUGAAGGUUGGGUAACACUAACUGGAGGACCGAACCGACUAAUGUUGAAAAAUUAGCGGAUGACCUGUGGCUGGGGGUGAAAGGCCAAUCAAACCGGGAGAUAGCUGGUUCUCCCCGAAAGCUAUUUAGGUAGCGCCUCGUGAAUUCAUCUCCGGGGGUAGAGCACUGUUUCGGCUAGGGGGCCAUCCCGGCUUACCAACCCGAUGCAAACUGCGAAUACCGGAGAAUGUUAUCACGGGAGACACACGGCGGGUGCUAACGUCCGUCGUGAAGAGGGAAACAACCCAGACCGCCAGCUAAGGUCCCAAAGUCAUGGUUAAGUGGGAAACGAUGUGGGAAGGCCCAGACAGCCAGGAUGUUGGCUUAGAAGCAGCCAUCAUUUAAAGAAAGCGUAAUAGCUCACUGGUCGAGUCGGCCUGCGCGGAAGAUGUAACGGGGCUAAACCAU
rnacentral:rRNA from 1 species